rnacentral:rRNA from 1 species
AGUGACAAGAAAUAACAAUACAGGCCCUUACGGUUUUGUAAUUGGAAUGAGUUAAGUAUAAACCCCUUAACAAGUAUCAAUUGGAGGGCAAGUCUGGUGCCAGCAGCCGCGGUAAUUCCAGCUCCAAUAGCGUAUAUUAAAGUUGUUGCAGUUAAAAAGCUCGUAGUUAAUCUUCUGUUAAUUUUUAUAUAUAAUAUCACGAUAUUUAUAUAAUAUUAACAUAAUUCAUAUUACUUUUUAGUAUAUGAAACUUUACUUUGAGAAAAUUAGAGUGCUUAAAGCAGG